UUUACUCAACAGGUGGACAUAAACAAGGAGUUCAAUGUAACUGCUAGAGGAACUGGAACAGCCACUCUCUCAGUUCUGACGCUGUACUACGCCAGACCUGCUGAGAAGAAGUCUGACUGUACAUUCUUUGAUCUGACUGUUAAAAUGGAGAAAGACCCUAAAA